AGAUCAAGGCCAUGUAUUAGAUACAGCCUCAUUUAAUCAGCACCAUUAAUCUGGGACAAUUGUCCACUUUGGAUACUGUUUCUAGAGGAUUCCUUUGGUGCAUGUGAGCAUGUGACACUGUAUAUAUUAGCUUUUAUUUUUUAUACACAAUAGAUAGAUAGUUACAAGCCCACGAAUAAGAAUAGUACACGUAUAGAAUAGAGUAAUAGUUUUUUAUUCUUUUAUUUAUAAAUACAUGUAAAGGAAGGGAAUAAAAUACACAGAAAUUUUCUAUCACUAUCUUCUUUUCAAUAUUUCUUCAUGGUAUCAGAGCCGUGAAAGCUCGAUCCAUCAGUCGUCUUCCUCAUCUUCAUAUCAAUCCUAAACAAUGCCUGAUAACACUGAAACCACAAUGGGUCAGACCACCACUUGGAGGACUCCCCACCAUCGACUCAAACCAUGCAUACUUUCUUCAUUCUUCUGAUGCACCAGGAAUGUCUCUUGUCAACACAGUUUUAAUGGAAGAGGAUUCCAAAGAUGAGAAGGUCUGUUCUUAUAGCACUAUCUGCUAAAAAUAAAAUAGGAUUCAUCAAUGGUGCUUGCCCUGCUCUAGCUCUGACUUCCAGAGACUAUCAGCCUUGGAGCAGGUGUAAUGACAUGGUAACAUCCUGGUUGCUCAAUUCACUGUCCAAAGGCAUAGGAGACAGUGUCAUUUACUCUAAAUCUGCUAAAGAUCUCUGGACCAGCCUUGAACAUAGAUUUCGUCAGUCAAAAGGAGCUAAGCUUUAUCACCUGAGGAAGGAAUUAUCAGGGUUAGUACAGGAAACUAGUGACAUAGCAAGCUACUUUACAAAACUCAAAUGUUUAUGGGAUGAAUUGGAUUCACUUAACUAUGACGUGAAGUGCAGUUGCUUGUGUGUAUGUGAAGGGAAGCAAAAAUUGAAAAAAUCGCUAGAUGAUGAAAGGCUUAUUCAGUUUCUUAUGGGUUUAAAUGAUAGUUAUGGUCAAGGAAAGGGAACCAUCCUGAUGAUGAAUCCCCUACCAUGCAUAUUACCUGGUGUUGCAAGAUGAAAGCCAGAAAGAAAUUUUUGCUCACCCACUCAUUUCUCCAGAUUCAUCAUCUUUUAUGGUCACAAAUCAAAACAACUUUGCACAAAGGGGUUCAAGGCAGAUGCAAAGGAACCUUGUGCAAUAUCAAAAGUUUGGGAACAACAUCCAAAAAGGGACUAACUCUACUCAAAGGAACACAACAUUCAAGGGAAAGAAAAUUAAGUUUAACCGUAAUGUAACAUGCAGUCAUUGCAAGAAACUAGGUCACACUGUUAGUGAUUGCUACAGAAUUAUAGGUUUCCCAGAAGACUUUGAAUUCACAAAGGAAAUCAAGUUCAGACCAGAUGCAAUGAAGCAUUUCAAAUUGAGGAAACAGAUCAGAACAGCAGCAAUCAGAAUGAAGUACUCAAUCAGCACCUCACACGGGAUCAUUUUUUACAGUUGGUACAAUUAAUCAAGCAGGUUAAGGGUGCAUAUUCAGGAAAUUCCAGAUAUCAAUGUUAAUGUUAUUGCUGUGAAGAGGGCACAAGUUUUUGGUAAGGCAAGGGAAGGACUCUACCUUUUGGAACCAAGUGGAGUCAGAAAUAGCACAAGUGUGGAACCAGUUUCAGUUUUAAAUCAAAAUGUCUUUAGUAAAUUGUUAGUUUCAUUUCCUUUUUCUACUAGCUCAGUUUCAGAUGUAAGCCUUUGGCACAUUAGGUUAGGGCAUUUGCCCUUUUCAUCAAUGAAACAUCUCAGUUUUAUUUCUUUGCC